rnacentral:rRNA from 1 species
AUUGAACGCUGGCGGCAUGCCUUACACAUGCAAGUCGAACGGCAGCACGGGGGCAACCCUGGUGGCGAGUGGCGAACGGGUGAGUAACACAUCGGAACGUGCCCAGUAGUGGGGGAUAGCUCGGCGAAAGCCGGAUUAAUACCGCAUACGACCUACGGGUGAAAGCGGGGGAUCGCAAGACCUCGCGCUAUUGGAGCGGCCGAUGUCAGAUUAGGUUGUUGGUGGGGUAAAGGCCACCAAGCCGACGAUCUGUAGCUGGUCUGAGAGGACGACCAGCCACACUGGGACUGAGACACGGCCCAGACUCCUACGGGAGGCAGCAGUGGGGAAUCUUGGACAAUGGGCGCAAGCCUGAUCCAGCCAUGCCGCGUGGAUGAUGAAGGCCUUAGGGUUGUAAAAUCCUUUCGUUGGGGACGAUAAUGACGGUACCCAAAGAAGAAGCUCCGGCUAACUUCGU